UGGGGAAUCUUGCACAAUGGGCGAAAGCCUGAUGCAGCGACGCCGCGUGCGGGACGAAGGCCUUCGGGUUGUAAACCGCUUUCAGCAGGGACGAGGCGAAAGUGACGGUACCUGCAGAAGAAGCCCCGGCUAACUACGUGCCAGCAGCCGCGGUAAUACGUAGGGGGCAAGCGUUAUCCGGAUUCAUUGGGCGUAAAGCGCUCGUAGGCGGUCUGUUAGGUCGGGAGUUAAAUCCGGAGGCUCAACCUCCGUCCGCUCCCGAUACCGGCAGACUUGAGUUUGGUAGGGGAAGGUGGAAUUCCUAGUGUAGCGGUGGAAUGCGCAGAUAUUAGGAAGAACACCAGUGGCGAAGGCGGCCUUCUGGGCCAUAACUGACGCUGAGGAGCGAAAGCUAGGGGAGCAAACAGG
rnacentral:rRNA from 1 species